UGAUCUACAGAAAAAUAAAAGAAACGAUACACAUAUAUGAUAUCUUGUUGGUUUCUCUUCGCGAGUAUGAGACUUACAUCGAUUUAAGAAUAUCGAACACAAGAUGAAACUCAUGUCUCGGUUUGUCCAAGAGUUACAUUACAUUUUUGACCAUGAGGAUGUCUCGAAUGGAGCACUUUCGAAAAUGGUAAUUUUUCACGACACACUCGAAGAUUACACGAGAUAUAAUUGCCGUCGAGAGAUGAUCUACGAGCUAAAAGAAACUAGACGGAAGUAGCAAUAUUAAUGUGGUAUUUAACUGAAUCCACUUUGAAUUGUUCAUCUGAUGAUUUUCCAUGAGUGAAGCUCUCCUAAUGAACAUGACUUGCAACCGGUAGAACUUACAAGAACGCGACGACGGCUGGCAUGGUCAUGCAGGCGCCGACAAUGAAGAACGUCCCUGGAAACGUUUUCAUGGUUGCAGCGUAAAUGGAACUGUACAUAGGCCCAUAGAUGAGAGGCAUCAGAGAUUCGCAGACACCAAGCAACGAAUUCACCUUGCCUGCAAAUCAACGAAAAUUCAGAUACAGUAUUCCGGACAAUGCCAUUCCGAUCGGUACACCAAGCGACAAGAAAACAUUUGCAGCACCAAUUCGAAGCGUCCUGGACUCUACCGACGUGAUAUCCGCGAUAUAACUGAAAACACCCAUGAACAUGGUGAACCAGCCUCCCG